CCUGGCGGCAAUAGCGCGGUGGUCCCACCUGACCCCAUGCCGAACUCAGAAGUGAAACGCCGUAGCGCCGAUGGUAGUGUGGGGUCUCCCCAUGUGAGAGUAGGACACUGCCAGGC
rnacentral:rRNA from 1 species